rnacentral:rRNA from 1 species
GAUGAACGCUGGCGGCAGGCCUAACACAUGCAAGUCGAACGAGUGGCGGACGGGUGAGUAAUGUCUGGGAAACUGCCUGCUGGAGGGGGAUAACUACUGGAAACGGUAGCUAAUACCGCAUACCAUCAGAUGUGCCCAGAUGGGAUUAGCUAGUUGGUGGGGUAACGGCUCACCAAGGCGACGAUCCCUAGCUGGUCUGAGAGGACGACCAGCAACACGGGAACUGAGACACGGCCCAGACUCCUACGUGAGGCAGAAGUGGGGAAUAUUGCACAAUGGGAGCACGCCUGCUGCGGCCAGGCGGCGUGUAUGAAGAAGGCCUUCGGGUUUUAAAGUACUUUCGGCGGGGAGGCGUUACCCGCAGAAGAAGCACCGGCUAACUCCGUGCCAGCAGCCGCGGUAAUUC